UUUUUAUUUAUGACAGACAUGAGGUCACGUGAUAAUGUAGUUAGUUAAUUAUUCAGUAGAGUAGUAAAAACAUGGCGUUAAGUUGAUGGCUUGUUGCCAAUUUAUUAAUGUAUUUUUCAAGUUAAUCAUUAAAGUUUAAUAAUAAAAUCUUCGUGUUUUCAUAAUAAUAACGACAGUAGCAACAGUAUCUUUGAUUUAUAUUGACGAAUAUCAAAAUUGCAAUGAUGUGAAUUAUGUGUAAAAUAGAGGAAAGAUACUUAAUGGAGAUUGUGAAGUAAGACAUUUUGGACAAUUGGACAUGACAAAGAAUUAAGAAGCACGGCAAUAGAGGUAGAAAAAAAAUAAGGCUAGAGAAGCACCAGUCUAGUGUUGAGAAUAUCGGAAGCCCCAAAAUUAGAUGGAUCCUAUAAUAAUGGUUAUUAAGGACAGAAUUUGUGUGUUUAUUUUUUUUUAAAUCAUGUAUAAUUUAAAUUUUGAAAUAGAAUGUACUGUGUCCUAGGCUAGGUUUAGGGGAGUUUCAUGUUAUUAAAUAAAUUACUUUUUCUUUUCAAAUGUAGUCUUCUAUAGUGUUUUAUUUAUGUCUAAUUCUAUUGACAAUGAAAUUAGAGCUGUGUAAAUCUAUAAUAAGAUAUGUUGCCAUGAAAUAAAAACACAUCUCUCUCAAAAAAAGUUUUUUUAACAGGUUUAAUAUUUUUAUUCUAUCUUGUGCAUUCCAUUCCAUGAGCAUUUAUUUCAUAGUUGGCAUGAAAAAGGUAACUGUUUGUUUAUACCAUGGUUUAUAUGUAAGUGAAUUUCAUCGGUCAUCAUUUCCAAGCCAACUCUGACUCCAUUUUUUAUCACACGUACUUAAUUCACAAGAAUUUGAUGAUUAAAUACAUAUACCUUAAUAAAGUAAUUAUAAAUAUAUUUAUUCA